AUCCCCUGGGCGCAUAGGGCCUAUUUGUUUUGGAAGCAAAUAGGAGGGCGCAAUGGUAAUUUUGGCAAAGCUUAGUUGGAAUGACUUUUGGUUUACCCCGUUAUAUUUUAAAUUGUAACGGGCCCUAGUUUUGGGGGCUUUUGUAAUAUUUUAUUUCCCUUGUCAUAUAUAUUCUGUCUCUUCCGCUUCUCUCUCUUCCCGAAUUUCUCUUGUUUCGAACUUCUACGAACUUCUACCUGUGUGGUUUGCUCUUGAAGCGUGGUGGUGAGCAUCUGUGGUUCGGGGAAAGGAAAGCAUUCGUAGUUAGUUGCAAGUUGUGAAUUUGAGUAAUUUGUGUUCUUGAAGAUACGUGGUUUAAAUUAUGUAGAGAAAUAGUGCGAAUUGUUUUUUUUUUGUGGUGUGAAUUUACGGUUGUAUAAUAAUGUGUGAUUUGAUUGUGAAGAGUUGUUGUUAGUUGUUCUUAAAUUUUUGUAAUUUAGAGUUUUUUGUUUGGUUGGGUGUCGACUGUGUAAUCUCUAAUUUUAAUGUUAAUUGUUCGCUUGUUGUUUUUAUGAUUACGAAUUGCUGAAAUAAGUGUGGUUGUUGUGUUAAAUUUCGGACUUUUGAUUUGCGGAGUAGGGUUUUGACUAUUAUCUGGGUAUAAAUUGAACAAAGAAAUGGUUUUAAAGCUCAAUUAUAAUUCAGCUCUACGCAAUUGUAUAGGUCGAAUCAUUUUGGUGUUGGUGGUAGGAAAAGAUAGAUAAUUAGGGUGUCUGGAAUUAGGGGAGUUUGUAAUAUUUUCUGGUAUUUGGGUAGAUGUAAAUGUUAUGAAAUGAAUAUGUUGAGUAAUUGGAUGCGUUGGUAUUGAAUUAAUUUCAGUUUGAGAUGUUGUUGGAUGGUUUGUCAAAUGUGGUGUUUUGUUUGUCAAAAAGUUAUUACAAAUUGAGAAAAGAGGGUGUGUGAAAUUUACAGGAGAUUAAUGAAGACUAACAAGAAGGGUUCUGUAAUGGUGCCCCCUAGGAGGGUUGUGGUGACUAAUGGUUGUUUUGCCUGGCGUGGUGUGUGUAUGUAAUAUAUUAAGAUAAUAUGUACAUUAUUGUAGAGGACUUUGAAAGCUGCAAAUAAUGGGGCUAAAAAGAAAGCUGAUAAUAAGGAGAAGAAGAAAGUGAAAGCUAUUCCUGUUUUUGAGGAAGAGACAUUGGAAGAUACCAGUGAGCAUAGUGGUGAUGAUGAUGAUGUUUCAGAUCCAGAUUUUCAGUCAACUAGAAAAUCUGAUCCGGACGAUGAUGAAAAGGAUGAAGACGAUGUGGAUGUAGAGGAACAGGCAGAGUCUGAAGACUAGACUGAAGAACCACAAGAGGAAAAGAGUGAUCUGGAUAAUCUUCUUGUGAGGUUGUUGACUGAGAGGUUUAAAAAUGGAAAGUGGAAGGGAGCUCCUGCUGAGAAACCGGAAGGUAAAAAGGCAAAGGUGAAGGCUGAGAAGACAAAGGGUGAUAUGGUGAGGGCUAGAGGGGUUGUGGUAAAAACACAGUCAAGAACUACGCAAAAGGCCCCUAAUUUGAAUGGUGUGAAGGCCUUUGGUAGUAUAGUGCACACGUUUGAUGACUCCAGGAAGAAGGUGGUGACAGAAAUGGGAUUUGGGGGAUUGUUAAAGAUUCCACUUACUUACUUGCCUCGUAAAUUUGCGUACUGGCUACUGACAAGGGUCGAUGGGGAAGGUUCCCUUGUCUUUGGUGAUCAGUAUGUUGUUCCACUGAGCCCUGUUCAGGUGGAGUAUGUGCUUAGGAUUUCAAUGGGUUCCCAGGAAAUUCCAGCAAGGAUUCCGGCAGACAAUGAAGAGAUGCAGACAGAGGCAAGAAGAAUAGUGCAAAGGUAUUCAAAGGCUGGUGGUGAGAAUAUCUCGUUAUCGCUCAGUAGCUGCCGAGUGAGUCAUUCGAACUGACAUUGAGGGGAAUGUGUUGCCUCUUUCUAGUGAUGUUCAGAAGGCUGAAUUCAAGAUUGUCUUUCUUAUAGUUGCCUCUUUCUAGUGGUGUUGAGAAGGCUGAAUUUAUAGUGAGGGGAAUGUGUUGCCUCUUUCACCUCAACAUUGCUUCUGUAUGAUGAAACGGUGGAGUAUAACUGGUGCACAUGGGUGUAUAAGUGGAUGUGCACUGCAGCAAGGAAGUUCCAAAAGAAGUUUCAAGAAAAGGGAUAUGUUGCCGGAUCCGGUGGAUGUAUUUUGUUUGUGUUGGUAGGUAGUCAGUGUAUUUUAUUUGAAUUUUGGUUUUGUUUAUUAAUAUUGGUGUGUUACUUUUAUUACAUCUUAUAGUAAUGGUUUUUUUUUAUUUUAUUUUGUACAGAUUUUUUACCUUGACCAUCUGAAUCGCGUUCCCAUAUCAUGGGGUAUGACGCCGAGAUUGCAGGCUUGGUCGCAAGAAAAAAUAAAUGAAGUUGUGUCAGAUGACAAAUAUGAAGGUGGUGACGGUGGACGGCUGCCGGUGAGUUAUCUUUUUUUUUUUGUAGUAGUAGUUUUGUAAAACCUUUGUAAAUGAUGUUUUGGUGAUUAGUAUGUGCUUUUGUGUUGUAGUCUCUGAAUAUUGCGUACGGUGAGCCACAUCCAUUGUCAUCGCGUGAUGAAAGAAUGAAUUCAGAAGUAGAAGGUCGGAUUACGGAGAAGGUGAUGGAGAGGUUGACUCCUCUGUUGGUAUCUUUUAUAGAUAAAAAAAAGUUGCUAAUGUUUUUCAGUCAUUCACUGACUUGAUGGGAAGCUGUAUUGACACAGCUAUUGCAAGGAGAUUGUCAUCAAUGGCAGUUGGUGCUCCUGUUGUUAACAAAACGGUUGAGGCGGAUGGUAGGCAAACAGUUUUAGCAAAAAUGGAUGGCUUUGUGGCAGUUUCUGGUUUGGUUCCUGGUGUUUAGCAUGUUGGAAAGGGAACUGAAUCUUUGGGGCUUGAUAAGGUUGUGAAGGAAACUGAGUGUAUGAGGGUUGAUAAUGGUGGUCAACAUGUGUUGAAUGGGGUUGUUGACCUCUCUGUGUUGGAUGCUGGUGAAAAGGCUCCUUCUGAGGUUGAGCCUGUUGUAAAAAAGGCUCCUUCUAAGGUUGAGCCUGUUUUAAAAAAGGCUCCUAAAGAGGUUGUGCAUCUAAAAAAGGCUCCUAAAGAGGUUGAGCAUGUAAACAAGGCUCCAAAAGAGGUGGAGGUGAAUGGGCUGGUUGAGGAUGAUGAAGAGUUGAAUGGGCUGGUUCAGAAAAUUGGUGAAUAAGUAGGUGUGAAUGCAAAUAAGGAUGGUUUUGAGAUCAAUGCUGUUGAAAUGAGUGAUUUCCCAAGCGGUGAUUCUAAAACUGAUGAGGACAAUAUGCACGGCCUGGAGCUGAGGUAGUGCUGGGAUCGAUUGCUUGGUACGAGGGGCACAAACGUAUUGUUUGAUCGUGGGAGUAGUUUGGGGAGUUAUUCUUCAUCUAAAGGGGAAGAAGACGUCACUAGGAACGGGGACGGUACUGCAAAGAAGAGGGUUGUGAAGCCUACCGAUAAAGCUUUGUCAGCAAUGUUCACGAAUGUGUCAAAGAUACGAAGGCAUACGACGCUGGAGGCAUGUCUGCUGCAGUACGUACGCCGUUGGAAGGAGCUGAAUGACCCACUUUGGUAAUUCUCCAUUUUCUGAUUAAGUUACUAUUUUUUUUUUGUUUCUUUUAAAUGAUGUUAAUUGUUGAAGGAUUAAGUUAUAUAUGUUUAACUGGUUUAUUGCUGGUUUGAUGUGUUGCUAGCCCUGGCAUUGUUUUGAUCAAAUGUGAUAAUAUGAAAGCCAAUCAGAAGGAUUGCUUUGGUGUAGUGCAUCCUAAAUCAAGGGUCUCCUCUGGUUAUGUCAGGAUGGCCAGUGUGCUCGACACAAAGCAAUGGGCAACCAAAGACUUUCUCAACAGAGCAAGCAUAUUUUGCUUGACCCAAGCUUUGCGAUAAGUACUCCAUUGUAGCGUGAAAUCAAUGUGUUGUGUGCGUACCUUAUUAAAUAAGGAAUGGAAUGGAAUGAAUACGAAAUAUUAUGUUGGUUUGUUUUAUUUGAUAUAGGAUUGAAUCAUGUUGAAGGAAGAAGGCAAAGAAGAACAUAUUGCUAGCAAGUAUGGCAAAGUUUUAUUAAGCUACAAGCUUUCGCAGAUUCAAACGGUUUGUCACUAAAUCCCAAUUGUUGACUAUGUAUUUUCGCUUUAACCGCCCAUGGAAUUGUAAUACUGUGUGGACACUUGUUGGCUGAUUGGCAAUGAAGCAGGUGUUCAUUCCAGUCCUCGAAGUUCCCAAGGAUUUCCCCGACAACUCCCACCGGUGGUGCUUGGCUCUGGAUAUGAAGGGUCGAAAGCUCUGGAUGAUUGAUUCCUUGUAUCCUGAUCCAUUCGAAAAACAUGUUGAGAUAUUUGAUCUUAUGUUAUUUAACCGAACGCUUCAUCGUUGUACUUCUUUUUUUGUUGAUUGUAUGCUGUGUUUUUCGUGUUUUGACAAGCUGGAAUGUAAUCGUACACUCCCGUGUCAUACCAUGUUAUUGUAAUGGCACACAGGUGAAAGGUAUUGAUGUACUUUUUCAGAUGAUUGACCCACAAUGGACAAUUGGUCGGAUCUGUUCUUGGAGUAGAAACAUUGUUGAGUGCAUGGAUCCUGGCGAUAACUCAUAUUGUGGUGUCCUCACGCUAGCCUGCAUCAAAUUCUUUGCUAGGCGGUUCACCAGGAGGUUUAGUGUGGGGAAUAUUCCUAAUGCAAGAAAUAAUCUGUUGUUGGAUGAUGUACAAUGUGAUGUGAACGAGCUGAGGGAUUCCCUGGAAUCCUUGGUUCCAAGUCCAAGGACCUCUACCAGAAAUCAGUGACAAAUGAACGAUAUGGUUGUUGGGGGUGGUGGUUUUUUGAUGUGCUCCCUUUUAUGUGAAUAUUUGUUUUUUAAGUACGUGAUGAACUUGUCUUUGUGCCUGGCCUAACUGUGUGUUGUACUAGGUGCCUAACUAUGUGGCUAAGUUAUCUGUUUUGGCAGUGUACCAAACUUUAAUUUUGGUGGUGCACUAGUUCCCUUUUGAGGUUUUCAAAUAGUUUCAUUUAUAUGUUAAUGGUGUUACCUGUUCAUUAUGAUAAACAAUUACUGAGUAUGCAACGUAUGAAUUGUCCCAUUUA